AGUCGAGCGAGCUGAACCAGCAGAUUCACUUCGGUGAUGACGCUGGGAACGCGAGCGGCGGAUGGGUGAGUAACACGUGGGUAACCUGCCCUAAAGUCUGGGAUACCACUUGGAAACAGGUGCUAAUACCGGAUAACAACAAUAGCUGCAUGGCUAUUGCUUAAAAGGCGGCGAAAGCUGUCGCUAAAGGAUGGACCCGCGGUGCAUUAGCUAGUUGGUAAGGUAAUGGCUUACCAAGGCGACGAUGCAUAGCCGAGUUGAGAGACUGAUCGGCCACAUUGGGACUGAGACACGGCCCAAACUCCUACGGGAGGCAGCAGUAGGGAAUCUUCCACAAUGGGCGAAAGCCUGAUGGAGCAACGCCGCGUGAGUGAAGAAGGUUUUCGGAUCGUAAAGCUCUGUUGUUGGUGAAGAAGGAUAGAGGUAGUAACUGGCCCCUAUUUGACGGUAAUCAACCAGAAAGUCACGGCUAACUACGUGCCAGCAGCCGCGGUAAUACGUAGGUGGCAAGCGUUGUCCGGAUUUAUUGGGCGUAAAGCGAGCGCAGGCGGAAAGAUAAGUCUGAUGUGAAAGCCCCCGGCUUAACCGAGGAAUUGCAUCGGAAACUGUGUUUCUUGAGUGCAGAAGAGGAGAGUGGAACUCCAUGUGUAGCGGUGGAAUGCGUAGAUAUAUGGAAGAACACCAGUGGCGAAGGCGGCUCUCUGGUCUGUAACUGACGCUGAGGCUCGAAAGCAU
rnacentral:rRNA from 1 species